AGAGUUUGAUCCUGGCUCAGGACGAACGCUGGCGGCGUGCUUAACACAUGCAAGUCGAACGGAAAGGCCCUUUCGGGGGUACUCGAGUGGCGAACGGGUGAGUAACACGUGGGUGAUCUGCCCUGCACUUUGGGAUAAGCCUGGGAAACUGGGUCUAAUACCGGAUAGGACUACGGCCUGCAUGGGUUGUGGUGGAAAGCUUUUGCGGUGUGGGAUGGGCCCGCGGCCUAUCAGCUUGUUGGUGGGGUGAUGGCCUACCAAGGCGACGACGGGUAGCCGGCCUGAGAGGGUGACCGGCCACACUGGGACUGAGAUACGGCCCAGACUCCUACGGGAGGCAGCAGUGGGGAAUAUUGCACAAUGGGCGCAAGCCUGAUGCAGCGACGCCGCGUGGGGGAUGACGGCCUUCGGGUUGUAAACCCCUUUCAGUAGGGACGAAGCGCAAGUGACGGUACCUACAGAAGAAGGACCGGCCAACUACGUGCCAGCAGCCGCGGUAAUACGUAGGGUCCGAGCGUUGUCCGGAAUUACUGGGCGUAAAGAGCUCGUAGGUGGUUUGUCGCGUUGUCCGUGAAAACUCACAGCUCAACUGUGGGCGUGCGGGCGAUACGGGCAGACUGGAGUACUGCAGGGGAGACUGGAAUUCCUGGUGUAGCGGUGGAAUGCGCAGAUAUCAGGAGGAACACCGGUGGCGAAGGCGGGUCUCUGGGCAGUAACUGACGCUGAGGAGCGAAAGCGUGGGGAGCGAACAGGAUUAGAUACCCUGGUAGUCC
rnacentral:rRNA from 1 species